GCCAUCAUACACUCCACCAGGCUCUUACACCAUCACCAUGAAGAUGCUGGGUGAUAACGAUGAGGAGCUGAGCUGCAUCUCGUUCGGGUUCAGCAUCGGUUUCGCUGCAUCAGAAGCCACCAUCUGAAUGCAUCCAGAGGCAGAAUUCAGAAAUAUCACACCAUGGAUGUAAUUACAAAAGCACCUAUGUAUCUUAGAUCAUAGAACUCAAA
rnacentral:misc_RNA from 1 species